UACGUAGGGUGCAAGCGUUGUCCGGAAUUAUUGGGCGUAAAGAGCUUGUAGGCGGUUUGUCGCGUCUGCUGUGAAAUUUCGGGGCUCAACCCCGAACUUGCAGUGGGUACGGGCAGACUAGAGUGUGGUAGGGGAGACUGGAAUUCCUGGUGUAGCGGUGAAAUGCGCAGAUAUCAGGAGGAACACCGAUGGCGAAGGCAACUGCCUGGGCCUGAACUGACACUGUGACUCGAAAGCGUGGGUAGCAAACAGG
rnacentral:rRNA from 1 species